CCUACGGGAGGCAGCAGUGGGGAAUAUUGCACAAUGGGGGAAACCCUGAAGCAGCGACGCCGCGUGAGUGAAGAAGGAACUCGGGAUGUAAAGCUCUAUCAGCAGGGAAGAAAAUGACGGUACCUGAGUAAGAAGCCCCGGCUAACGACGUGCCAGCAGCGGCGGCAAUACGUAGGGGGCAAGCGUUAUCCGGAUUUACUGGGUGUAAAGGGGGCGUAGACGGCAGUGCAAGUCCGUGGUGAAAGGCGGGGGCUCAACCCCCGGACUGCUCUGGAAACUGUACGGCUUGAGUGCAGGAGAGGUAAGUGGAAUUCCUAGUGUAGCGGUGAAAUGCGUAGAUAUUAGGAGGAACACCAGUGGCGAAGGCGGCUUACUGGACUGUAACUGACGUUGAGGCUCGAAAGCGUGGGGAGCAAACAGGAUUAGAUACCCGAGUAGUC
rnacentral:rRNA from 1 species